rnacentral:hammerhead_ribozyme from 32 species
AGUAGUUUUCCGGUGUGUGCCGGGACUGAUGAGUCCGAAAGGACGAAACUGCU